ACACCAGAUAUAAAUAGAACAAGUGAGUAAUUGAGGGAAGAGGAGAAUUUACAUCCAAAAACAGAAUUUACAUUCAAGGGGAGCAGAUUUACAUUCAAGGAUACACAUCAACCUCAAGGGAGGCAAAUGGAGAAACAACAUCUGUAAGAUUGCUAGAAGAUAUUUCCAGCUGAAGUUUCAAAAGUCCAAGGCUGCAACUCUCCUUCUGUGUUUUUUUUAUUCUAUUUCCUUCUAAUGUAUUCUCUUUACCUUUUUAUAAACUUGAUUGUAAAACUCACCAUGGGUGAGUAAGUUUUUUAUCCUAGGGUUAGGGUGUAGCACUCUCA
rnacentral:misc_RNA from 1 species